AUUUAGCAAUACCUGGGCGGUACCAAAUAUAUUAGGGUUAGCCCUUGUUGCAUUUUAAACACAUGCUAAAGAAGAAUAAACCCAAAUGGAAUAUGUCCAAAUGCCGGGAAGACAGUACUGACAACGACAGCCUGCUUAAUAAGCUGUUGGUCUGUUACAUGUCAGACCCACUGAAGAAAUAAUAUCUACGUGUGAUGUGAGAGACAGCAUGGUUAGGGUUCAAUUGGUGGUUCAAUUCCUGUCUUCUGCGGUCUGCAUGUCAAGUAUCCGUGGGCAAGUUGUUUUUUUUUUGUUUUGUUUUUUUGUUUUUUUUUUGUUCAUCUUUUUUAUUAUUUUUUGUGCAUAGAUUUAUAUAUUUUUCUGUACACUUUCAGGAAGGUCAUCAACAUUAAAGUUUAUUUUGAUGGACAGUAAUGGAUGAUGUUUACAAUCUAAUAGGAAAAUUCAGUUAAAACUAGUUUUAAUUGUGCUUUAUAUAUUCUGUUGUCUAGUGCCAACAGAAGCCCAUCCACAGCAUGUUAACUCUCUACAUAGUAGAAUAGCAGCUGUUACAACCAGAAAUUCUAUAUUAAAAAUGGAUGUAGACACUAUAACAUUGUUUGUUCAUUUAUUUACUACCAAUCUAAAGCCCGCAGUACAGGAUUUUGGCUCUUGACAUAUUGGGUGUGUUUGCUUUAGAAGGUGGAGCUUAUGAGCUAGCACUGUCACAGUGAGCAAGAUGCUUUAUUUAUUUAUUUAUUUAUUUUUUUUUUUUUUUUUUGGGGGGGGGCAAGUUGUUAACCCCAUGUUGCUCUCCGAUGAAGUGCUAAGCACCAAGAAGAAAGAGAUUUCGAACAGUUACUUGUCCUGGUGAAUCUGAUACUUUAAACAACGUUUAAAAACUUGUGUUUUUGUUGUUCAUGUUUGUGCCUUGUGUACGUCAUGUACUUCGCGUUCACAGUUAGUUGAUAUGCUACAGAUUUUCUGUUAUUAAAAUCCAGCUUUAACAUUAAAGUGGGUAUGAUCCAGUAUUAUCAUGGUUACAAUUAUGUAAAAUAAGUAAAAGAACUGGUUAAGAAAAUAAAGAGUCAAACUUACAAAAUCUGUGUCAUUAUCCAAAUAGUAUCACAUUCAUUUUCAUUACACAUUACAAGGC
ensembl:lncRNA